GACGAACGCUGGCGGCGUGCUUAACACAUGCAAGUCGAACGGAAAGGCCCCUUCGGGGGUACUCGAGUGGCGAACAGGUGAGUAACACGUGAGUAACCUGCCCUUGACUUCGGGAUAACUUCAGGAAACUGGGGCUAAUACCGGAUAGGAAUCCUUGCUGCAUGGUGGGGGUUGGAAAGCUUCGGCGGUUUUGGAUGGACUCGCGGCUUAUCAGCUUGUUGGUGGGGUAGUGGCUUACCAAGGCUUUGACGGGUAGCCGGCCUGAGAGGGCGACCGGCCACAUUGGGACUGAGAUACGGCCCAGACUCCUACGGGAGGCAGCAGUGGGGAAUAUUGCACAAUGGGCGGAAGCCUGAUGCAGCAACGCCGCGGGCGGGAUGACGGCCUUCGGGUUGUAAACCGCUUUCAGCAGGGGCGAAGCUUGUGGUGACGGUACCUGCAGAAGAAGCACCGGCUAACUACGUG
rnacentral:rRNA from 1 species